rnacentral:misc_RNA from 1 species
CUCGUUUCUCGUCAUAUGUAACGGUUAGGUAAAAAAAGAUAUUGAGUACCGUGGUGUAGAUUUAACGCGUAAAACGCGCAUUUAAAGUUAUUUAAAUUGAGAAUUACAAGUUACUUUAUAUAUACAGUAAGAAGGAAAUACAGUUGUAGUGAAAGUCAUCGUAUAGCAGUGACAAGAAAAUCCAGACGAGUGGCGCGUCUGUGCAAACGGCUCUCUGGUCGUAUGACGUAAUUGUAUUGAUCGCGGAAGAAGAGCCGAAAGUCGCGCAUUCGCCAUCUUGGACGAAUUGUGGAAAAGAAGUAUCUGUGUCUCACAGGCGCGGUACACUUGUAACUGUUGUAAUCCGCGGCAAUCGGAACAUUAAUUAGUUUAACUGGGAAUUAACCCUUUUGUGAAUUAGAAACCCAUUUGGACGGACCAAGAUAAAAGGUUCGUUCUUUGGGUCUGAUUGGUACUAAAUGGUUGCCUGCAGACAGCAUGUCUACUCUGUCAGGGCUUGCGUCGAAGGGGGAGAAAGGAAAAUCCAAGUUCCAAUCAUUAGACAUCAAUAGCUUGUACAGAGAAUAUAGAGGUGAAUCUUUGGAGCAACAACAACAGAAAAACACAUUACCACGCAAACAUGGAAUGCAAAGUCUUGGAAAGGUGCCUUCGGCACGGCGACCUCCUGCCAAUUUGCCUAGUUUGAAAAGUGAGCAUAGUAGUAGUGAUCCAGCCGUCAGUCUUGUACCAAGUGGAGGAAGUGGUUGGGCUACUACCAAAGAUACAACAACGACAACCACUACUGCUACAACUACCACAGCUUCAACUUCAUCAGACACAACCACUUCAAAUUCUUCACCGGCACAAUGUGUAGUGGGGACAACUGUAACAGCGUCACUGCAUCCUUUACUGCCAGGACAACAAAACGUUUCGCAGGCUUCGUACAGUUCCGAUGCGAACAUCAAAUCAUCAUGGAGCGCGAUAAUGAGCAGAUCAGGAGACGGCGGUGCACCGGGAGGUCAACAACAUUUACAACAACAGCAACAAACAAAUCGAGAAUUAAAUGCUCAAUACGGACCCGGGCCAAGCUUACGACCACAAACGGAAGGAAGUUGGAUACAAGGUGGAAGUCGUACAGCCAGUGGUGCAGGGUUGGCGACGGCUGGUCCCGGAAGUGGGACCACUUCGGGAGUCCAGGGCCCCCCGUUGAACAUCACUGGAUCGGGAGGACAUGCCGACGUAUCUGGCGGACGACAGAACUUGGUCCAGUCUCCCAACAUGGCCAUGGCCCAGGCAGGCCCUCACAGUGCCCCGAACAGUCAGACCGCUUUGAACUCUGGCUCUCAUCAAGUCGGUCCAAAUUUACAUCACUAUAGAGGACUUAUUCCUCCAUUUAUGUAUAGAGGAAAUUUUACUGGUGGAUUCCCCCCGCAGUUUCCACCGAACGCUGGCCCAACGGGACCCAGGCCACGAUUUAAUUACCCCGCAGAACGAUUCCCUGCCCCACCUCAGCGUCAACAAGAACGCGAACGCGAACGUGAACGCGAACGUGAACGCGAACGCGAACGUGAACGCGAACGCCUUCCAGAGGAAGAAAUUGUUACCCGACCAAUUAUCAAAGAAGAAGACCUUACCCGAAUGGAUGACAUUUCUCGCGAUGCCGGUUGGGCAGAACAAGAUGACAUCGAUUAUAAUAAAAAGCUUACUUUUAGCGAUGACGAAGGCGAUAAUGAACCACUGAAGAAAGACGAGAAAAAGGAUAUUAUAGAGGAAAAAAUUGAAGAAAUUUCGGCAGAAGAUAAGACACGUGAUAUUCACGAUAAUCGAGAGCCAAAAGAAUCUCGCGAUCAACCGGCUCAUCGUUCAUGGACUCAGAACUCCUUACCACGUGACUAUCGUGGAUCCAAUGGAUCUGGUAGUUACGGCGGUCCGUCACAAUUGCACAUUGUGCAUUCUUUGAGAGGUGUGGAAGACGACGAAGGGUGGAACGAGAAACGGCGAGUAGUGAGAGUCGAAGUGGCAUCUGUUACCGAGCGUGCACAACAACGUAAAGAAGAGGCGGAGAAACUGUACGAAGAGUCAAGUAGACAAGCGGCAGCUAAGAAACAACAAGAUGUCGAGCAAAAAUUAAAAGAAAAACAGUCGAACGAAGCGAAAAGUUUAAUAAGUGUUCCACCCGUUCAAAUCCCGGUACCCGAUUGGGAGCGCGAAAGGGAGACCAGAGAUCGAGACCGGUCUUGCGUCGUGCCGUCCGAGAUGAAAGAUGAGAAAUCCUCGAUCCGUGAAUCACGUGAAAACCGAGACGGUUCGAAAUACAACAGAGAUUCUCGUGAUCAGUUAAUAUCAGAUUUUCGACAAGUCGACCGCCCGGGUUUCAUGAGACAACAGGACAGUGUGCGUAGUGAACGCGAAAGGGAGAGAGAAAGGGAACGUGAUCGGGAUCGGGAUCGUGAGCGUGAUCGCGAGCGUGAACGUGAUCGCGAUCGUGAACGUGAACGUGAACGUGAACGUGAACGUGAUCGCGAUCGCGAUCGCGAUCGCGAUCGUGAACGUGAUCGUGAUCAAAGAGAUACAAGAGAUCGUGAUCGCGAUCAACGCGAUACAAGGGAUCGUGAGCACUUGCCGUCAUUUUCCCGUCUUUUUCAAACGAAUUUACCACCUCGAUUUCAAAAGCAGCAGGCGGAGAGAAGUGGUGCCGGAUUCAAUCGAAUUUCCCCGAAUACCGAAAGAUCAUCUGCUCAGCCUGUUCCAUUCUCCCAACAAUACGAUCCUGGCAGAUGGCUUCAUAAUCACAGUUCUUUAAUAGAUAACAACUUGAAGCAGUCGCACGGCAGCGCACCACCGCAACGUCGUAGCAGAACGGAUUCUGACAUUUCUAUUUCAAUGGACGACGAACGACCACCGUCCCGCGAUUACCGUGGUUCCCUUCUCCGUGAUGAUCGAUAUCGGCAUCCACCGCAUCGACCGUACGAUACUCGGAAAUCUGGCGGUUAUAAUGACGAGUACGCCCGUAACUACAGAGAUCAUGAUUACGACGAUAGACAUUCUCGUGACUCGUGGGAACGUGAACGGUAUUUCGACGAAAAUAAAGAUCGGGAUCCAAAAGACAAUCUGGAGGUGAGAGAUAUCAGAGAAACUCGAGAAACUAGAGAAACUAGAGACGGUCGCGAUGGUCGAGCAACCAGAGAUAUAAGGGAGACUCGAGAAAGAGAUAACAAACUUAAAAAAGAUUACGAUAAUUAUGGAAAGGAUUCUUUCGAAGACCGCGACCGUGAUCGCGAGCGAGAUCGCGAUCGUGAUCGCGAACGUGAACGCGAGCGUGAGCGUGAACGGGAUCGUGAUCGCGAUCGUGACCGUGAUCGCGACCGUGAACGCGAGCAGCGGGAUCGUGAUCGUGAUCGUGAUCGCGACCGUGAACGUGAACGGGAUCGAGAUCCAAGAGAACGAUCGGAGAGCGCCGAAUGGCGAGAAGAACGUCUCCCGCAAGAUAGAUCAAUCGAUAAUCGUCGUGAACCGCAAAGGGACGAUCGUGUGGAACGCAACGAGCGUCCACAAAGACCGGAUUCUCGCGAUAGUCGUACCUCCCGCGAAUCAAAGACAUCUUUGCGCGAGGAUGAUUCGCACAAGCUACGUGAUUGCAGUCCUUGGGUGAAUGAGGUCGCCGAUUAUGAGGAAACUAAACGCGAAACAUAUCACGAGGACGCUCGGGAAAGAGAACGUGAUAGAAGACAACCACUCGGGCCUGUGACUAAAGAAAGAAUCGAGGCCGACGAAUUGAAAAGUGAGAAACGUAAUUUAACCCAAUUGAAACGAACGAGUUCCGAGCAAGACAAAAAGGAUCAGACAAAGGAAUCGCUCGUCGAUGCGAAGAAGGACGCGGACGUAUGGAGCUGGAAAGUGGAGCGUAUAAACGACAGCAAUCGAACAUUGGAAAGGGGUGACAAUUCACCUAAAGCGUGGGCCGAUGCUGUUUCCCCGACAUUCGAGAAGGAAGAAGAGAAAAGCUUGGAGGCGAUCAAGAACGAUAAAGAGGCGGACGACUUGAAGCAGAAUUUCGAGAAAUUAAGCUUGGACAAGAGGGAGGACGUUUUGAACGAGGAUAUGACGGAACAGCAGAUGAAAGAGGAAAAACGAGAGAAGGGUAUUCGAAACCGAACCAGUAGCGGCGGCUCGAAUUCGAGAGUUCGUGAAUCCCGAGGUGGACGCCAAUGGACUGGAACGUACAGUAUGUACACACGACCUUGGCGUGGUUCCGAACCAAGGGGACGAAGAAGCGGACCCAAACCGACCGGCAGGCCAGCCUCCGCUAGAAGUGGCUCGUGCGGGCACACCGACUCUGAGAACAGCGCCGAUGAGAUAUCCUGUUCGACCGAGUCGGGAAAGGACGAGAAGAAAUCGGCCAGAUCGCCGAAGCCCAGUCAAAAAGCGGAAAAAGAAGAACGGAAUCGAGAGGUGUCCAGUCGGGACGAGAAACGAACCGAUUAUCCGCAGUCGCAACAACGUACCGAGAAACGGGGAUACGAUGGUAAAUUGAGCCACGAAGGCUUCGCCCCGUCUGGCGAACCUUCUCGUCGCGGCCGUGGCGGUUUUCGACAUCGGAGCGCAACGGGUGCCGGGAAUCGAAUAGAAAAUUACGGGCCACCGUCCAGUAAAAGCCCUUUUUCAUGCGAUCGGACCGCCGACGAGAAACAGACCACAGUGCGUCAGAAUCCGACGGCGCUCGCCGCGGAAAAAGAAUCGAAUUCCAUUGUGUCCUCGCAGCUCGAGUCGACCGACGAUAAAAUAAUCGCGAAGCAACAGGCGCUUACAGCUGGAAUAACCGGAAAGCGUGCUAAGUCCCCGAUCCAGCAAUCCCAGCAGCAGCAGCAGCAGCAGCAGCCCCAACAGAAUCAACAAGUUUGCAAUAAACAGGACGUGAAUCAUAUGAGCAAUAAUGCUGUCCCCCAGAAGGUACACGGUCGUAAAGAAGAACCACGCUCGAAGAGAAAUCGAAGCGGGAGCAGAAGGGGAAGAGACAAUCGGGAAUUACGAUAUCGUGGAAGCAAUAGUAACGUGUCGAAACAAAACUCGUCCGAUGUAGGGAACGAGGAUUGGGAGACCACUUCGGAGAACAGCGAGGAACACGUGGAGGAGCAUAAGGAGAUGCGAAGCAGUCGUAAACAAUUCGGCACACGUGUUAAUUCUGGUGGCAACCAAAAUAUCAUGGGAUCAAACGUGCACUCGCGCAGAAACGAGCACGGCGGCGGUAACCGCGAGCAACGUGAGAAAACCGCGAAGUCUUCCAAUUCAACGUCACGGGCGCCAGGCGCGGAAAAGCGAAAGUUACAGAAUCUCGGUUUUGUCAAUCAGAAGAAUCACUCGAUCAGCAUUCCACCAUUGAUGCAAUCCGCUCAAGUUCAGAACGGACGUUCGAGAAGUCAGACAUCCGGUAGCAACGCGACGAUAUUGAAUAAAUCCACCGCAAAAGAUAGCACGGUGAAUCGCAUAGAUGAAAUAAAAUUGAGCGAUCCGAAUUUGGUUAGCCAGGCCCUGAACGAUAUCCACAAGAAGUCCCAGCUAAAGGAUAAGAAAACCGUCGAUUAUGAAAUAGAGACAGGCAAUUGCAUAGAGGAUGGGUCGAACGGUGUCGAGGACAAGAUUGAUUCUGACGGUUUCCAAGAGGUUCGUUCCAAGAAAAACGUAAAGGACUCUAGACAUGGUCAGAAAGAAGAAACGACGAAACCUAUAAAACGGGAAAAAGAAAAGGACAGAGAGCGUGACCGUUCGAAAUGUAAGGCAAACGGCGGUGGUGGUGGUGGCGGCGGUGGCGGCGGCGGUUCGCAAACGUCUUCUUCGUUGCAGCAGGUGCAAAAUAUACCACCUCUGUUGGGUCAGACCAUUCCGCAACCGGUAAAUAUGUUACAGAAGCAACACGACAGAACGAGAAGUCUUGCCCCGAGAUUCCAGAAGCAACGUUUAGCGAAACAACAACAGAUGUGCCCAUCCGAGUCGAACGAGUCAAAUAAAAGUAACAAUUCGGGUAACAGUUACGGUAAAGACUCCUCGAGUGGACCAGCUCCUCCACCGUCCGUUAACGCUUGGGACAAACCGUUCACGACCAGUCAAUUGCGAUCGAAUUCACCGUCGUCGGUCGUCACCGAUAUACAAUUGAUACCCGGUAUGUCAACGCAAAACGAUCACGGUCAUAUUCACGGCCAUGAGAUCAACGAGCAAACGAAUUCUGGGAACAGCAGUCAAAGAAAUUCGCCGAACGGCGAGAAACCCAGCAAGUCUUUGAAGGAACAACUUUCAGAAAAGAACUCCGUCUCCGACGUUUCCUCGCCUCCGGUACAAACGUUGAUAUUCGAGAAUACAAAUUACUCGAAGACCACGAAGGCGGCUCCUUCCGAUCUCGCCGUGAAGACGAAAUUUCCGAAUCAUAUAAAGAAUCAACAGCAACGCGUGGAGAAACGCAGUGAUAUGGAAGAGGAUGGCGGUAACACGGCUGGAAUGCAACAGCAGCAGCAACAGCAACAACAACAACAGCAGAGCCUACCUGUCGCGUUCUCGAACAAACCAAACGAUUUGAUGAAAGACAAGAAUCAAGAACCGAUUCAAAUGCCUCUGUCCUUCAAUAAAAACGAAGAUAACGCCGACAUGAAGCUCGACUUCACGUUCGAUUCGGAUCUCUCGCAGCUGACCGAGGAUAAGAACAAAAGCUUGGGAAUGCCUCGGUCUAUGCAUAUGGCCACCGGUCAGAAUACCAUUUCUCCCUCCACCGCCGAGUUGAACUUGAAAAUCGCAUCGGUAAAGAAAGUCUGGGAGAACGCGCCACCGAUGCCAACGGUGGUAGAGCACGAGGAUGGCAAUGUCGUCAGUAGCGCAAACACGUUCCCGCAAGCGUUCGAAAGUACGGACGUCGACGAUAGUUACAGUCCUCAUCAACAAUACAAUCAAAAUAACAUGAAAAACGAAAUAACCACUUCGACGAACGUGUGCAAGCUGGUUCCCCCGCAGGUGAAGCCGCAGCAACAAUCCUCGGGGAGCAGUAGCGGUCAAUCUGGUUCGACAGUUCCCGGGCCAAGCCCAAUCGGAGCAGGUCAGAGUCCUAUCGGUCAUCCUCCUGUCAGUCUGCAAGGACCGUUGAGUCCACCUCCGUUCAACUCCACAGGACAACCCUCUCACAUAAACUAUCAGGAGUUCCCACAAUACCCAGGCUCACAAGCUGCGCAAUACGGCAGCAUGUCUGCUAUACCCUCCCCACCAGCCGUAUUGUUUAACACAGGUUCUGGUCAACUUCCGGCUCAGGCAGGAGGUCUAUACGGAGCCUUUCAGUUGGAUCAGAGCCGAUCUCCGUUCACUCAGUAUCCACCGUAUGCACCGUCUCUUCAGAACUCAUUUAGCCAGCAAAACGUCUACUUGCAACAACCUCCGCCACCGCCUCCGCACGCGCCAAAUGCACCUACUCCGGAGAUGUAUCAAAGCAAUCUUUCUCAGUAUCGCAUCACUGCAGCUGCUGCUCCACCGUUUGGACAAAAUCAACAGCUCAGUAACAAUCCAAAUACAGUUCUUAUCAGUUCCUCUUCGAAUUCUUUGAUGUCGGCAAGUGUGAAACCGUCGUCGCAGCCCAUUGGCGCUAUUGGAACGAAAGCUCCACAUUUUCAAGCGCCAUCUGCCCCUCAACCAAAUCCAUUAACGUACAUACCGUACGAUCCAAAUCAAGUACUGGGAGUAAGUGGCAGUUACAUGGGCAAUUCCCAAUUGGUGCAGAGACCCGGUCCGAACGUACAAGCUUCAGCCAAUAGCUAUUAUAGCGCCACUUCGGCUGAUGUAUUCCCGGGCUCGCAGACAGGUUUUUAUCAACCGGGAGGCGCUACGCAACAAACCGGCACCCAUUACGGGCUGCAAGGAUUCGGUCAGCAUAGCCAAAGUUUAGCAACUGGUAGCGCCACACCCGUUGGACUACAAAACUUCGGCUCUGGCUUUUUAUCCAGUUCCGGUUUACAGAUCGCCGCAGCUGCGGCUGCUCAGCAGUUUCGCAAUCCUACGGGCGGACUUCCAGGACCAGCCAACGCUGGUCCUACUUUUCUCAGCAAACAUCAACCACAGGAACAACCUAGACAAUUAAAGAGUCCAUCGGGAAAUCAACAAGAUGUUCUUGCGUCGGUUUUCAGUUCCACGCCACAAAUACCAUCCCCUAAAUCGAGAAACUGUAAACAACAAUCUUCGUCCCAACAACCGCAACCAAGCCCGACGCAACACCACAAGUACCAACAGUAUCAGGGUGUUAGUCAAUCUGCUUUGGUAAGCAGUUACAAUAACUACGUUUUACAGCAAAACGUACGUGGCAUGGGAAUGCCACCACGCGCCGGUAUUCAGCCGUCGCAACAACGAUAUCCACCGCCUAUUCAGAGACCAGUUGUCCCGUUUACACCCGGCCCAAAUCCAAACAAUCCAACUCAACAACAACCUAAUUGCAUGCCGUCACAACAACAGCAACAGCCACCGCAAUCUCAAAUUAAUCGUCACAGACCGAAUUUGCAUCAACAGCAACAACAGCAACAACGUAACAUGAAAAUGCAACAACAAUACUAUUCUACUCAAGGGAACGUGAAAAUGGAUACGAACGAGAAAACGGAUUCUCACAAUGAUAAAAUCAGCGACAACGGAUCUAGUGCUCAACAAGGAAGCACUAAAGCAAACGUAAAUCAACAGGACAAUGACAAUAAAGAAGAAGUGAACCAACAAAAUGAGUGAAUGUGAAACAGGCUGUUUAUUCUGCCGCUUGAGAAAUAUUAUUUAUAAUUACAUAAUGACAUGACGUCGAUUGAAAGAAGCUCGCGCGAUCAGGAGACGUAUUCGAUACUUGGCUAUAUAUCUAGUUAGAAGUAUUUAACUUUGGCGCAUCGAAGAAAAAAAAAGUGGGCGGUAUUGUCAUUGUACACACGCCAAUGCUUCUUCGAAUUAAUUAUUACGAAGUUGCGUGUCAUAAAUUCUACGAACAAAUCACGUCAUCGAACAUUCCCUUUUUGUUCGAGAAAGUAGUGCGUACGACCCGAAACGCUGCAAUGAACAUUAGAAACAUGGAGAGAAAAAAAAACAUAGCUCGAGAAAAUAAACCUAAUCGAUACAUCAAAGACAUACUUGACAUUGUCUAAACGCAGUCUACGGAUUACUCUGGAAACGAAAGGAAUUCUAAUGCGUUGCUCGAUUCAAUGGGAAAUGGAAGUCAGAGAAGCAACACAGUUGGACUGGUACGCACAACGUAUCGCUUCUUGGUGUUAAUCGAUCACCCUACCAAUUAAUUACAUUGAAUAUGAAGAUAAUAAAUGUGCACAAGACUCGUAUUUCUGUAUAUGGACACGACGGCGGUCUGUGGUAUACGAUAAUGUAAAAGCCAAUUUUUCGGAAAUGUAGUUCGACAAAGAUAUAGCACGACCGUUGCUACAUUUUGUAGAGCACCAUUAAAGUGGGGAAACGAAAAACAAACGUCGAUAAAGAAGACUGUUUUAUGUAUAUCGAAAUUUCAAAUUGCCCAUGCGAUGGUCGUAUAGAUCUGCAUGACGUUGUCCCUCAUACAGUGUGACAAGUAAAAAAGUUCGUGUACAUUAAUCGUUUAUUAAUAUAAUGUGCGGUCAUGACGAAGCUUGUGAAAAAUAAAUAGUGCAACAAUUGUUUAUAGUUACUGAAUAUGUUAUCAUGACCUAGACACGCUCAGAAACACUAUCAAUAACUAAAAAUGUAAUAAUAUAUCAUAUCGCUUGAAAAAAUUUGAAACAAAGUCGGUUUUCCGUGCAUAAUGUUCCAUUAGGU